GGAUAUGAGGGGAUCUGGCUGCAACCCCUGCCAUAGCAUUAAUUGCCAGCAUUGAUUCAGCUGAAUGGGGUGGGUGAGUGCCCCCUCCUCUUUCAUUACUCCAUGUAUAUCUCUCCUCAAGCUGUGCACUCCGUGGAAGAGAAUGACCUUGCCCAAUGGAGGAAGGAUGGUCUUUAAAUCUCCCAGUAUCUUACCUGUUCUCCCCCGAUGGAACCUUCAAACACACUGUCAAAGGAAUAGAAUCAGGCAGAGAGCCACCUUCCUUGUUGCUGCAUAUCUAUAUAUACCACUGGCUUUGGAAAAAAAUUCCAAAACAGGUAUUGGGUCCUAU
ensembl:misc_RNA 7SK 7SK RNA